GCAAGGAUGGACAAUGACUUAUCCCAUCAAAUGAGCCGAAAGACAAACUAAUUCCAACACAACGCUGUUUCUAUUAGCCAACCACAAGCAAUACAGCAUGAUGUAAGUGAAUUCCCGAUACAGUAUGUGAGCUUUUCAGGUAAAUAUCACGAACUGGGAGUAGCAGUGCUAAUCUUGCAGAAACCAUGCUGCUGUCCUUCAUACUCGACAAGAGCAACU
rnacentral:misc_RNA from 1 species